AUGAGGCGGGCUGGACCUCUCGGGGUUACAGCCUUGCUGAAUUAUUCACCCUUGUCUUUUGCGUACUUCUUGUUUCCUUGGUGGGUUCGCCCACCACUAGGACAAACAUAAACCUUUUGUAAUUGCAAUCAGCGUCAGUAACAAAUUAAUAAUUACAACUUUCAACAACGGAUCUCUUGGUUCUGGCAUCGAUGAAGAACGCAGCGAAAUGCGAUAAGUAGUGUGAAUUGCAGAAUUCAGUGAAUCAUCGAAUCUUUGAACGCACAUUGCGCCCUUUGGUAUUCCAAAGGGCAUGCCUGUUCGAGCGUCAUUUGUACCCUCAAGCUUUGCUUGGUGUUGGGCGUCUUGUCUCUAGCUUUGCUGGAGACUCGCCUUAAAGUAAUUGGCAGCCGGCCUACUGGUUUCGGAGCGCAGCACAAGUCGCACUCUCUAUCAGCAAAGGUCUAGCAUCCAUUAAGCCUUUUUUUCAACUUUUGACCUCGGAUCAGGUAGGGAUACCCGCUGAACUUAAGCAUAUCAUA
rnacentral:rRNA from 1 species